rnacentral:sRNA from 1 species
AUCUACCGUGGGGCACGUACCCUCUCCCCGCGAGCGGGGAGAGGGUUAGGGUGA